UACGUAGGGGGCAAGCGUUGUCCGGAUUUAUUGGGCGUAAAGAGCGUGUAGGCGGCCAGGUAGGUCCGUUGUGAAAACUCGAGGCUCAACCUCGAGCUGUCGAUGGAAACCAUCUGGCUGGAGUCCGGAAGAGGAGAGUGGAAUUCCUGGUGUAGCGGUGAAAUGCGCAGAUAUCAGGAAGAACACCCGUGGCGAAGGCGGCUCUCUGGGACGUGACUGACGCUGAGACGCGAAAGCGUGGGGAGCGAACAGG
rnacentral:rRNA from 1 species